AAAACAAAACAAAACAAAACAAAAACAAGUGAGAAAAAUGGGAAUUCUUUUCUUAUGAUGGUAUUCUGCAAGCAACACCUCUGGCACUGGGAUUGGUGGAAUUCGUUGUCCUUGUAAAACACUGUCAUGUUUAAUUUUCAGUUGGAUUCCUGCCCCCAGCUAAUGCAGAGAGAAGCACUGAUUCCUGAAGUGAGUGUGAACUGGUUGUCUGCCUGUUUUGCCCCAAAUACUUAUGCCAACCAGAGAGCAGCUCCAGAAAGCAAGCACCAGAACAUAGCAAGAUUCUGGUUUUGGUCCAAUGCUUAAUGUGUUUGUUGAUGAUCUGGAAGGGAAGAAAGCAGAAGAAGACAAAAAAUGCACAGACUGCAAAAACGUCUCUGAAUUAAUCCUCUGGCAAAACCCGACUAUAUUUUACCCUGAUAAAGCAAUUCAUGUUUAGAAGGGUAAUAUACAAGGUACUUAUUUCUCCUACACAGCUCUAAAUUAACUCGUUGAAGUGACUGCGAGAACCAAAUGGGCAGUUCUAUAAAUACAAAGUGUCAGACAUAAAAGCCACCAGGCUGCUAGGCUACAGAAGGAUGGAUGUGAAGAACCAUACCAAAAUUAUGAUGUUGCCCAUCACAGACCACCAUUAUUUUUUUCAGUUAUGAUACUGUGUGGAAAGAUUGGUCCUCCCCAGAAAGAGAAAGGGCUUGGGCAUAGAAAAUCCCUGAAAUCUGGGACUGUUCACUCUAGAAAAGACAAUUAAGCAAAAGUCACUGUAAAAUGACUACAACACAGAAGGGUGUAGGGGAAGCAGGGAAUGUUUCCUCUGAACUGCCCAAGAACCUGGGUGCACUGAAUAAAAUCUACUGUCAAAUUCAAAAGAGAGGCAAAGAGAUGCAUUUGUCAUUCGCUACAUAAUUAGUAUCAGUUGACCUGAUGAAUGCUAUUUCCACUCCCUAUAAGCUUUUUCCCACAUUUCUUUAGUGCCUUGUGUUUUAACACUACUGCUGGUGUUGUUGUACUGCCUCAUGAAGGCUGAACACUAGAUAAGCUUGAAAAAAAAAAAAGAACAGAAACAGAAAAUAAAUAAUAAAUAAAGAUCUGCUUUUUGUUACUUAUAUGGGUGUAACAUCUGAAAUAUAUCAGCAUACAUCUAGAAAGAGAUAUUAAGCCUCAUAUUUUACAGCUUAUGAC
rnacentral:lncRNA from 1 species